UACCAGCACCCCGAGUGGUCGGGACGUUUUAUUGGGCCUAAAGCAUCCGUAGCCGGUUCUACAAGUCUUCCGUUAAAUCCACCUGCUUAACAGAUGGGCUGCGGAAGAUACUAUAGAGCUAGGAGGCGGGAGAGGCAAGCGGUACUCGAUGGGUAGGGGGUAAAAUCCGUUGAUCCAUUGAAGACCACCAGUGGCGAAGGCGGCUUGCCAGAACGCGCUCGGACGGUGAGGGAUGAAAGCUGGGGGAG
rnacentral:rRNA from 1 species